AGACGUGCACGUGGAUGACUUGGGUCAACUAACUGCGCACAUUGCUUUACUGAUUUGCUUUCAAGCGGUUGUUCUGCCGUGAGCUCGACUGUAUUAGAGUUUUUGAGGUAUGACGAAAUCGCAAGCAGACGGCCAAUGUCCUUCAAAACCAGAUCCGCCCCGUACUAGUCCUCCCAAAAGCAGAGAACAUGGGUUUCCUAGUUCUUCGGAUCCUAAUCGUCAGCCUAAGCUUCGAUGAGAGCAGAUCUAGAGCAACAAGCCGAUACUGUUGUUCAGAAGUGGAUUACGAUGACGCUGUGUUGUUAGUACUGGAGUUUUAUGCAGCUAUUUCUAGCUAGUCAGUUUUAGUGUCGUUUGCUACAUGUUUGCGAGAAAGUUGAUGUCUAUGCAGUUGCAA